GACGAACACGAGAAUUUUACUAUAACAUUCGAUAUGGUUUAGAUUUCUCAUGCGCAAUGUGCUCGCCCAAUCAACCGGGACAUUGACGCGAAAAACGCGGUGGACAGAAACACUAUUCGAGUGGCGGACGAAAUGAACACCGGCUCGGAGAGAAUCACGAAUUUAAAUUGACCGGCCGAGAAAACAAAACAAUCAACGCUGGAAUGCGAAAACGGGCGACGGGA